rnacentral:misc_RNA from 1 species
AAGUCGUAACAAGGUUUCCGUAGGUGAACCUGCGGAAGGAUCAUUACCACGUAUCCACGUACCCACCCACCGUGCACUUGAACCUCCCCAAAUCGGGCCGGAGAGGCGGUUAGUUCGCUUCGAUUUCGUUUGGCAAGCAAUUGCAAAGCGAAAACAAGGAUGAGCUAAUGAUCGGCCUUGAAACCCCUCUUGGGCUACCUUUUUUUCUCAAUAAACCUAUCUCACUUCUUUUUUUGUGAUGAUGUCACAGAAAAAGAAAAUGAACAACUUUAGUAAUUUUGACAAGUUGGCUUAUACUAAAAGGAAGAUUUGUUUCUUUCUUUUAUAUCUAUUGCAACCGAUAGAUCGUAUUGUACAACUCUUAGCAAUGGAUAUCUUGGCUCUC